AUUGAACGCUGGCGGCAUGCCUUACACAUGCAAGUCGAACGGCAGCACGGGAGUAAUCCUGGUGGCGAGUGGCGAACGGGUGAGUAAUGUAUCGGAACGUGCCCAGUCGUGGGGGAUAACGUAGCGAAAGCUACGCUAAUACCGCAUACGAUCUAUGGAUGAAAGCGGGGGAUCGCAAGACCUCGCGCGAUUGGAGCGGCCGAUAUCAGAUUAGGUAGUUGGUGGGGUAAAGGCUCACCAAGCCGACGAUCUGUAGCUGGUCUGAGAGGACGACCAGCCACACUGGGACUGGGACACGGCCCAGACUCCUACGGGAGGCAGCAGUGGGGAAUUUUGGACAAUGGGCGCAAGCCUGAUCCAGCAAUGCCGCGUGCAGGAUGAAGGCCUUCGGGUUGUAAACUGCUUUUGUACGGAACGAAACGGCGAGCUCUAAUACAGUUUGCUAAUGACGGUACCGUAAGAAUAAGCACCGGCUAACUACGUGCCAGCAGCCGCCGCCG
rnacentral:rRNA from 1 species